GAAAGGACACGCGCUGAAAAGAGAAGGAAAACAAAUACCAGGAAGGCGCUCAGUGCCGCUCCAGCAGACCUCGCAGCUGCUUCAGAACGGGCAUCCAGACUUUUCAAGGUCUCUGUGGGCAAUAACACGGCCCUUGUGCCACGGCCAGCAGGCAGGGAGCAGAGGUCACCGGGGCAGGGAAGGCAUUGCAAGAGAUGGAAAUGGGAGCUGAAGCAAACACAAGUGGUCUCAGCCACACCAAGCGUUGCAGCAGGAUGAACAAUUGAUUCCUUGCUGUCUUGGCCCAAGAACAGCUGCUAAUACCGAUGGAAAGAGACAGCGCUGUGCACGGCAACGUGCACUCAUGCAGCCCUUCCCAGAAUGGCUGAAACCCCUGAAGAAGGCCCUGGAGAUGCCCUGUCCCACCCCCAGCUCCAGUGGGGCCAUCUAGGGCUGGGUGCUCAGUGCUUGGUCCAGGCCUUGGAAAGACCCAAACGAGGUUAUGUUGUACUCUAACGAACUGCUCAGGGGAGGAGAGGUCCCUUUGGUCUACAUGAACAUCAACAGAAGUCUCAUCUGGGUUUGCUUGCUUCCUACACCUACUUAAGGGCAAUUGCCUUUUGCUGUUGUCAUCUGCUGUGUAACUUUAAUUGCACUCAGAAGGGCACUUUGGAAAACAGACCCAACCAAGUUUAGAGAAUUCAAUUCUCUUUGUGCUCCUUUAAGGUGGAUUAAAUGAGACUAAUGUGGUUUAAAAGUUCUUAAGCCACACAAUUAAAGCCAUUACAACUCGGUAGUUCUGCAAUACUGACUUCACAACUGAAGUACAAUUGGUUUUCUCAGGACUAAUGGAAAUUCCUGCAUUUCUAACGGGAGACAUUUAGCAAAGACAUAUGUUUUUUAGAUAUUCUCUCUCAUUUGUAAAUACUCUACAGUACUUAUGCCAUGGGUGUAAGGCAGCUUUCACCCCAGCACAGCUGGUUUUCCUGGUCCUUGUCCA